AUGGCUCAGUGGUAGAGUGCAUGCCUGGUAUCCAUGAGCUCCUGGGUUCAGUCCCCAGU
rnacentral:tRNA from 1 species